rnacentral:rRNA from 1 species
UAAUACGAAGGGUGCGAGCGUUAAUCGGAAUUACUGGGCGUAAAGCGCGCGUAGGUGGUUCAUUAAGUUAGGAGUGAAAGCCCCGGGCUCAACCUGGGAAUUGCUUCUAAAACUGGUGAGCUAGAGUACGGUAGAGGGUGGUGGAAUUUCCUGUGUAGCGGUGAAAUGCGUAGAUAUAGGAAGGAACAUCAGUGGCGAAGGCGACCACCUGGACUGAUACUGACACUGAGGUGCGAAAGCGUGGGGAGCAAACAGG